rnacentral:rRNA from 1 species
UGCCAGCCGCCGCGGUAAUACGGAGGGUGCAAGCGUUGUUCGGAAUUAUUGGGCGUAAAGCGCGUGUAGGCGGUUCGUUAAGUCUGAUGUGAAAGCCCGGGGCUCAACCCCGGAAGUGCAUUGGAAACUGGCGAACUUGAGUACGGGAGAGGAAAGUGGAAUUCCGAGUGUAGGGGUGAAAUCCGUAGAUAUUCGGAGGAACACCGGCGGCGAAGGCGACGCUCUGGGCUAUUUCUGACGCUGAGGUGCGAAAGCUAGGGGAGCAAACGGGAUUAGAUA